rnacentral:lncRNA from 1 species
GCAGUGCUUCACUCCGCAAAACAAGAAACAACAACAUGGGACUUUUCUAGUACAUUCCUUGGGAAACUUGGUAUGUCCUGCUUGAAAGAAAAGCCCAAAUAAGACUGCCAAGAUCAUCCAGAGGAAAGGCCAUGUGACCACACACCAAGAAGCUAGCUGUCUGCCAGCCAGGAAGAGAGCCCUGACCAGUAAUCAAAUUGGCUGAAGACUUGAUCUUGGACUCCUUGUCUCCAGAAAUGGCUGCUGUAGUAUCCUAGGGGUCUACUCCAGUCCCUGGUUACCUCGAAUUUUCCAGUCCCUGGAUGUCUCACCAGUGAAGGUUGUGAAACAGCAAAAAUGGCAGCCUGCACCCUCCUCUGGGAGCUCCAUCCCAAGAAGAUGUUGGCACUUCUUAGGAAGGAGCCAUCCAUGUCUGAAGAGAAGAAAUGAUAAUUAACUUCAUCAUGUGGAAAGCUUUAGAAGGAAGUAUCUUGUCCUUCUGUCCAAACCCGCCUCCUCCUUACCACCCCCAAUAAAAAUAAAAGCCAAACAAAUAAAACAUUAGCAGUAGCUCUGAGUUUCUUCCUUUCACUUUUUCUCUCUCUUCAUGCCUUUUCUCCUCCAUUCCUUCCUUCUUUCAAAUCAUUUUUACUAGUUUAAGAGAAUAAUUCAAUCUAUAUUUAGAAAUCAGACUUAAAACUUCAAAAAUUAUACUGAAAUAGCUUCCCCUUAAAGGGUGAAACAGUCAUGAUAAAAAUAACAACCGAUAGAAUAAAAUAAUAUAAAAUUAGCUGAGUUUAUAGUUUCUUUUACACCUCCAUAAUUUAUGUGGAUUUGGAAAUACAGACAGUAUACUGAAAACUAAGAAGUUUUCUAUGAAUUAUGAGAAUUUGCAAUCCACAUAGGCUUAAGUCUAAUGUUAGAAGAUAAAACAAAUUGACCUUAAAUAACUUUCUGACAUAACCUCCCCAUUUCAUGGAUGAAAAACCCUAAAGCUCUCAUAAGUAAAGUGAUUUACUUCAGGACACAAACUAGUUGAUUUAGUUUGGAUGUUUGUCCCCUCCAAAUCUCAUGUUGAAAUGGAAUCCCCAGUGUUGGAGGUGGGGCCUGGUGGGAGGUGUUUGUGUCAUGGGGCAGAUCCAUUAUCCUUAUGAGCUGCUUGGUGCUAUCCUUGUGAUAGUGAGUGAGUUCUCAUGAAAUCUGGUUGUUUAAAAAUUUGUGGCACCUCCCCACCAGCCUUGCUCCUGCUCUUGCGGUGUGAUAUGCCUGCUGCCUCUUCACCUUACACCGUGAUUAUAAGCUUCCUGAGGCCUCACCAGAAGCAGUUCUUCUAUCAGGAUUUUAAGAGGGCAGGCAGAACUUUAAAGCAAAGGAAAUUGCUUGUUUUUGUGAAAUUAACCAGUCUGUUAUCAAGGCGGAGGACAAGAUACGAAUGCUAAUCAUUGUGAAGAAACUCAUUACGGAAUUUUCUCCAAUACAUAGGCAAAAGAAGUGGCUGUUAUCAUUUUGCACUAUAACCAGACAUAUAAUGCUGUUGCUCCACAUCCACGUCAGAGGGCUGCUGCGAUUUGCUGAGGGUCUGCUCCAGACCCUAGUUGCCUCAGGUUUCCUGUACCUGGAGGUAUCACCAGUGAAGCUGCAAAAAAGUGAGAAUGACAGCCUGCCCCUUUCUCUGGAAGCUCCACCUCAGGGGAUUACUGACCUAUUGCCGGCCUGAACAUGACUGUUGGAGGUGGCUGGAGACCUUGGUUGGGAGGUCUUACCCAGUCAAGAGGAAUGGGGUCAGGGACCUGCUUAAAGAAGCAGUCCAGCUGCUUUUUGAUAGAGCAGCUGUGCUGUGUUGAAGAUCUCUUCAGUCUCCAAUCGGUUUGGAUUCUCCAAGGCCCACAGUCUGGAUUGGCUGAGAAGCCUGAACAACCAACAUGGUGGCCUGCUCCACCCCUCAGGCACUCUGUCCCAGGGAGAACAUGGGCAGGGGUGGCCAGAGGCCCCAGCUGGGAGGACCUGGCUGGGAGGACUUGCCCUACGAGGAGUGGAUCAGGGUCCUGCUUAAAGAAGCAGUGUGCAUCUUUUCUUAUGUGUUUCCUUUCCCUCUAUAUAUCUACUUUUGUGAAAUGUUGGUUCAAAUCAUUUGCUUAUUCAUUUUUUUUGUAGUAGUAAGAGGGUUUUUAUACAUUCUACAUUCAAUUUUUUAUCAGAUAUAUGAAUUGCAAUUUUUUUCUUCUCUAUAUCUCAAUUUUUAACUGCCUUUGGAGCAAACAUAUAUAACAUGUGUGAGGUCUGAUUUAGCACUUUUCUUCCUUUUUCAGUUUACUUAAAACUGACUUUAGCUCUUGCCUGUAGGUCUAUGAGUUCAUUUCAAGUCAAAUUUUGUAUAAAGUGGGAAGUAAGUGUCAUGGUUUUUUUUUUUUUUUUUUUUUUUUUACCUCUUUGGCAUAUAAAUGUCCAAUUACUCCAGCACUAUUUGUAGAAAGAGUAUUCCUUCCUUAUUGGAUUAUCUUGGCAUCAUUUGUCUAAAAUGAAAUUGUCAUGUCUGUGUGUGUCUAUAUCUAGAUUCCUCAUUUUUUUUUGAGACAGGGUCUUACUCUGUUUUCCAGGCUUGGGUGCAGUGGCAUCAUCAUGCCUCACUGCAGCUUCAACCUCCUCAGCUCAGGUGAUCCUGCCACCUCAGUCUUCUAGGUAGCUGGGACUAAAGAUGUGCACCAGCAUGCUCAGCCAAUUUUUUUGUAUUUUUUCAUAGAGACGGGGUUUACCAUGUUGCCCAGAUUGGUGUUGAACUCCUGGACUCAAGCAAUCGGCCUGCUAUGGCCUCCUAAAGUGUGGAGAUUAUAGGCAUAAGCCACCAUGCCUGGUUGCUUCAUUCCAUUUUGUUGAUCUAUAUGUCUAAUUUUUAUGACAAAUAUACAUACUACUUUUGUAUUAGUCUGUUCUCAUGCUGCUAUAAAGAACUGCCCAUGACUGGGCAAUUUAUAAAGAAAAUAAGUUUAAUUGACUCACACUUCAGCAUGG